GAGAGGAAGACCACAGGUACACCUGGCUAGACCUCCAGGCUGCGUGAUGAAGAGGUUUUACUCCACCUGUCACAGGUGUUAGAGAGGAAGACCACGGGUGUUAGAGAAGAAGACCACAGGUGUUAGAGAGGAAGACAACAGGUGUUAGAGAGGAAGACCACAGGUGUUAGAGAGGAAGACCACAGGUGUUAGAGAGGAAGACCACAGGUGUUAGAGAGGAAGACCACGGGUGUUAGAGAGGAAGACCACGGGUGUUAGAGAGGAAGACCACAGGUGUUAGAGAGGAAGACCACAGGUGUUAGAGAGGAAGACCACAGGUGUUAGAGAGGAAGACCACGGGUACACCUGUUAUUUUGAUAAACGUUUUGUUCCCUAAACUUGACCAUAUAUUCUCCUCCUUUCCGUGUGUCCGUGUGUCCGUGUGUCCGUGUGUGUGUGUGUGUGUGUGUGUGUGUGUGUGUGUGUGUAGAGUAUCAGCAGGGUGUGUGUGGGUCUCAGCUGUCAGUGAUAACAGGAAGAGGGAACCACAGUCAGGGAGGAGUGGCUCGUAUCCGCCCUGCCGUCACAGACUACCUCCACACACAGGGCUACAGGUUUACUGAGCCUAAGCCAGGUCUGAUGUUGGUGUGUCUGAACUGAGAUGAAGCUGGUCAUGUGACUGACUGUCCUUAUCAAGACACUAAUCUCUCCUCCCCUGGAAUCUACCUCUACCACUUCCUCUCUCACAUACACAAGAAACACACUCCUCUCUCUCUCUCUCUCUCUCUCUCUCUCUCUCUCUCUCUCUCUGUCUCUGUCUCUCUCUCUGUCUCUCUCUCUGUCUCUCUCUCUCUCUCUCUGUCUCUGUCUCUGUCUCUGUCUCUAUCUGUCUCUCUCUCUCUCUCUCUGUCUCUGUGUCUCUCUGUCUCUGUCUCUCUCUCUCUGUCUCUCUCUCUGUCUCUCUCUCUCUCUCUCUCUCUCUCUCUCUCUCUCUCUCUCUCUCUCUCUCUCAUAUUUUAAUUAUUUUAAUAGCUGCCAAAGAAAACGUCUUAACCUCCUUUUUAUGUCUUCACUGUUGCCAGUUUUGUACAAUAUUUGUGUUUUUGAAUGAAACUUUAUCAGGAUUUUACAAACGAUGACAGGAGCAAGAGUUCAUUUAAAUUAGAUUAAAUGUAGAUAUUAAAUGUUGACUUUUAAAAUACAUUAACACAGUUCUACAUUUUAUAAAACCAUAAUCAAACUAAGUGUAUAUAAUAUAAUCUUAACGUGAUGUUUCUGUAAUGGUGAAUGUGUGGGGUUAUGUACAUUUUAAUAUAGACCAGUUAAUCGGAACAGUAUUGACCUUGAUAUCAGGGUUUGAUUUCUGGCCCGUUUAUACAUUGGAACAGAAGGGAUUUCUGGGCCGUUUAUACAUUAGAUCAGAAGUGAUAUCUGGCCCGUUUAUACAUUACAUCAGAUGUGAUAUCUGGGCCGUUUAUACAUUAGAUCAGAAAGAGUAUUGACCUGGAUAUUGGGGUUUGAUAUCUGGGCAGUUUAUACAUUGGAUCAGAAGUGAUAUCUGGGCCGUUUAUACAUUAGAUCAGAAAGAGUAUUGAACUGAAUAUUGGGGUUUAAUAUCUGGGCCGUUUAUACAUUGGAACAGAAGUGAUAUCUGGGCCGUUUAUACAUUAGAUCAGAAGGGAUAUCUGGGCCGUUUAUACAUUAGAUCAGAUGUGAUAUCUGGGCCGUUUAUACAUUAGAUCAGAAAGAGUAUUGACCUGGAUAUUGGGGUUUGAUAUCUGGGCCGUUUAUACAUUAGAUCAGAAGGGAAUAUCUGGCCCGUUUAUACAUUAGAUCAGAUGUGAUAUCUGGGCCGUUUAUACAUUAGAUCAGAAGUGAUAUCUGAGCCGUUUAUACAUUAGAUCAGAAGUGAUAUCUGGCCCGUUUACACAUUAGAUCAGAUGUGAUAUCUGGCAAUUUUAUACAUUAGAUCAGAAGGGAUAUCUGGCCCGUUUAUACAUUAGAUCAGAUGUGAUAUCUGGGCCGUUUAUACAUUAGAUCAGAAAGAGUAUUGACCUGGAUAUUGGGGUUUGAUAUCUGGGCCGUUUAUACAUUAGGUCAGAAAGGAUAUCUGGGCCGUUUAUACAUUAGAUCAGAAAGAGUAUUGACCUGGAUAUUGGGGUUUGAUAUCUGGGCCGUUUAUACAUUAGGUCAGACGGGAUAUCUGGCCCGUUUAUACAUUAGAUCAGAAGUGAUAUCUGGCCCGUUUAUACAUUAGAUCAGAAGUGAUAUCUGGCCCGUUUAUACAUUAGAUCAGAUGUGAUAUCUGGCCCGUUUAUACAUUAGAUCAGAAAGUGUAUCGACCUGGAUAUUGGGGUUUGAUAUCUGGGCCGUUUAUACAUUAGAUCAGAUGUGAUAUCUGGGCCGUUUAUACAUUAGAUCAGAAGUGAUAUCUGUCCGUUUAUAAAUGAGAUGAAAAGUGAUCUAAUUUGGAACGUAAUCUGAAGAAUGGGUGAUGCUCCGAUUUUAAAAAGUGAUUGUGUGAAGCCCAAAUUAUAUCCUAAUCCCUAUGUAGUGCACUAUCUCAUCUCAAUUAUUAAAUGACCCAGAAACACUGGCCCACUAUUCUCUCUAUAUAGGGAAUCCAAAUGGCCCACUAUUCUCUAUAUAGGGAAUCCAAAUGGCCCACUAUUCUCUAUAUAGGGAAUCCAAAUGGCCCACUAUUCUCUAUAUAGGGAAUCCAAAUGGCCCACUAUUCUCUAUAGGGAAUCCAAAUGGCCCACUAUUCUCUAUAUAGGGAAUCCAAAUGGCCCUCUAUUCUCUCUAUAGGGAAUCCAAAUGGCCCUCUAUUCUCUAUAUAGGGAAUCCAAAUGGCCCUCUAUUCUCUAUAUAGGGAAUCCAAAUGGCCCUCUAUUCUCUAUAUAGGGAAUCCAAAUGGCCCACUAUUCUCUAUAGGGAAUCCAAAUGGCCCACUAUUCUCUAUAUAGGGAAUCCAAAUGGCCCUCUAUUCUCUAUAUAGGGAAUCCAAAUGGCCCUCUAUUCUCUAUAUAGGGAAUCCAAAUGGCCCACUAUUCUCUAUAUAGGGAAUCCAAAUGGCCCUCUAUAUAGGGAAUCCAAAUGGCCCACUAUUCUCUAUAUAGGGAAUCCAAAUGGCCCUCUAUUCUCUAUAUAGGGAAUCCAAAUGGCCCUCUAUUCUCUAUAUAGGGAAUCCAAAUGGCCCUCUAUUCUCUAUAUAGGGAAUCCAAAUGGCCCACUAUUCUCUAUAGGGAAUCCAAAUGGCCCACUAUUCUCUAUAUAGGGAAUCCAAAUGGCCCUCUAUUCUCUAUAUAGGGAAUCCAAAUGGCCCACUAUUCUCUAUAGGGAAUCCAAAUGGCCCUCUAUUCUCUAUAUAGGGAAUCCAAAUGGCCCACUAUUCUCUAUAUAGGGAAUCCAAAUGGCCCACUAUUCUCUAUAUAGGGAAUCCAAAUGGCCCACUAUUCUCUAUAGGGAAUCCAAAUGGCCCUCUAUUCUCUAUAUAGGGAAUCCAAAUGGCCCACUAUUCUCUAUAUAGGGAAUCCAAAUGGCCCACUAUUCUCUAUAUAGGGAAUCCAAAUGGCCCUCUAUUCUCUAUAUAGGGAAUCCAAAUGGCCCUCUAUUCUCUAUAUAGGGAAUCCAAAUGGCCCUCUAUUCUCUAUAUAGGGAAUCCAAAUGGCCCUCUAUUCUCUAUAUAGGGAAUCCAAAUGGCCCACUAUUUUCUAUAUAGGGAAUCCAAAUGGCCCACUAUUCUCUAUAUAGGGAAUCCAAAUGGCCCUCUAUUCUCUCUAUAGGGAAUCCAAAUGGCCCUCUAUUCUCUCUAUAGGGAAUCCAAAUGGCCCUCUAUUCUCUAUAUAGGGAAUCCAAAUGGCCCUCUAUUCUCUAUAUAGGGAAUCCAAAUGGCCCACUAUUCUCUCUAUAUAGGGAAUCCAAAUGGCCCUCUAUUCUCUAUAUAGGGAAUCCAAAUGGCCCACUAUUCUCUAUAUAGGGAAUCCAAAUGGCCCUCUAUUCUCUCUAUAGGGAAUCCAAAUGGCCCACUAUUCUCUCUAUAGGGAAUCCAAAUGGCCCACUAUUCUCUAUAUAGGGAAUCCAAAUGGCCCUCUAUUGUCUAUAUAGGGAAUCCAAAUGGCCCUCUAUUCUCUAUAUAGGGAAUCCAAAUGGCCCUCUAUUCUCUAUAUAGGGAAUCCAAAUGGCCCACUAUUCUCUAUAGGGAAUCCAAAUGGCCCACUAUUCUCUAUAUAGGGAAUCCAAAUGGCCCACUAUUCUCUAUAUAGGGAAUCCAAAUGGCCCACUAUUCUCUAUAUAGGGAAUCCAAAUGGCCCACUAUUCUCUAUAUAGGGAAUCCAAAUGGUUAGGAUGAGGGUUAAGGUUAGGAUGAGGGUUAAGGUUAGGAUGAGGGUUAAGGUUAGGAUGAGGGUUAAGGUUAGGAUGAGGGUUAAGGUUAGGAUGAGGGUUAAGGUUAGGAUGAGGGUUAAGGUUAGGAUGAGGGUUAAGGUUAGGAUGAGGGUUAAGGUUAGGAUGAGGGUUAAGGUUAGGAUGAGGGUUAAGGUUAGGGUUAGGAGAAGUGUUGAACCAACAUUAAGCCGUAGGAACUGCCUCCUAAAAGGGAAUUAUAGGCUACACAAGGAAAGGGUAUAUUUUUAUAUUCAGAAUUGUUG
rnacentral:lncRNA from 1 species